GAUGAACGCUAGCGGGAGGCCUAAUACAUGCAAGUCGAGCGGUAGAGUGACUUCGGUUGCUUGAGAGCGGCGAACGGGUGAGUAACGCGUACACAAUCUACCUUUAAGAGGGGAAUAGCCCUGGGAAACUGGGAUUAAUGCCCCACGGCAUCACGAGACGGCAUCGUUUUGUGAUUAAAGACUGAGGUGCUCAGAGAUGAGUGUGCGUCUGAUUAGCUAGUUGGUGCGGUAACGGCGCACCAAGGCGACGAUCAGUAGGGGGCGUGAGAGCGUGGACCCCACCACGGGUACGUGAGACACGGACCCGACUCCUACGGGAGGCAGCAGUAAGGAA
rnacentral:rRNA from 1 species